AGCGAACGCUGGCGGCGUGCCUAACACAUGCAAGUCGAACGUGAAAAGGGAAACCUGAGUAAAGUGGCGUACGGGUGAGUAACGCGUAGGUAAUCUACCCCAGAAUCUGGAAUAACCUGCCGAAAGGCGGGCUAAUACUGGAUAGAGCGAGGGAACUCGUAAGAGAGUUUUUCGGGAAAGGGAGCCCGCAAGGGCCUUCGUUCUGGGAUGAGCCUGCGUCUCAUUAGCUAGUUGGUAAGGUAACGGCUUACCAAGGCGAUGAUGAGUAGCUGGUCUGAGAGGAUGAUCAGCCACACUGGAACUGAAACACGGUCCAGAAUCCUACGGGAGGCAGCAGUGGGGAAUCUUGCGCAAUGGACGAAAGUCUGACGCAGCCACGCCGCGUGAGUGAAGAAGGCCUUCGGGUUGUAAAGCUCUGUCGGAUGGGACGAACAUAUUCAUAGUGAAUAGCUAUGAGGACUGACGGUACCAUCAAAGGAAGCACCGGCUAACUCCGUG
rnacentral:rRNA from 1 species